GUCUAUCAGAGACUAUGUGAUGUAUAUAAAACUUCAAUUCAAAGUUUGGAUUUAAGCCGAUCUAGGGUCUUUUGUCAAUAUUGUUGCGGUUGCUGAUAAAAAUCUAGAUUUGCAUAAAGAAUUUGUAUUUUAGAGGCUUACAUGGUUAUGAUGAAGGAUCUUUGAUAAAUGCUAAAGAUCUCGAUGAAGAAAACGUUAGGAGGGAUGGUUGAGUUGGUUUUACUCAUUUGUAUUGAUUUAACGCCUUCUAAUUUGGACGAGCAUUGAGAGAAUUCUUCUGGUUGAUUUUACGUGGAGUUUGACUUAGAAUCCUCUAGUUGAACUGAUAAGAGAAUUAAGAUUCAAUUAAUUUUGACCCGAGGGUGAAUCUAGACGGAUGGCUGGAGGUAAAGUAGGGGACGAGAAUCAAAGAUUUCUUUUUAGGCUUUACGUGGAAAUUGAAAUUUUGGAUCUCUUUAGUUCAUAAUACAAAAUAGUAUUUUGAUCAAAAAAUUAUUAGUGAAUCCAAAGAAUUUUGGUAGUUUGAAUCAGAGUGCGCAACGAAAGCGUAGUGG
rnacentral:lncRNA from 1 species